GUGGAUGUGAUGAUUAUUUCCCCAGAUGAUCGAAUCUGAAAUAACUGAGCGCUCAAUUCAUGUUUCUCCUUCUGGAGAAAUUCAAGCCAGAAAUCUGAUCCAU
rnacentral:snoRNA from 2 species